AACGUUAAAAAGUUGUUAAGUUGUUUAAAUAAGUUAAAAUAAAUAUGUCAAAACUAGUUAGACUUAGAAAGUGGUUAAGUUGUUUAAAUAAAUUCAAAUGUUAUUUAGUUGAUGGAAUUAAAAUUAUCAUUAUUGUUUGUGUAGAUGAAUCCUGAUCGUAGUUGGAUGUAUAAUAGAAACAAUCCUGGUCGAGCGGGUAUGAUUCCAGAAUUUGCAGAAGGUGUCACUAGAUUUAUAAAUCAUGCAAAGACACUUGAUGAUUUUCUAAUUUCAAGAUUGAUUAGGUGUCCGU
rnacentral:lncRNA from 1 species